rnacentral:rRNA from 1 species
CCUGCCUUGGAGUGGGGAAUAACAGCUGGAAACAGCUGCUAAUACCGCAUAAUGCAGUUGGGUCGCAUGGCUCUGACUGCCAAAGAUUUAUCGCUCUGAGAUGGACUCGCGUCUGAUUAGCUAGUUGGCGGGGCAACGGCCCACCAAGGCGACGAUCAGUAGCCGGACUGAGAGGUUGGCCGGCCACAUUGGGACUGAGACACGGCCCAGACUCCUACGGGAGGCAGCAG